GACGAACGCUGGCGGCGUGCUUAACACAUGCAAGUCGAACGAUGAAGGAGAGCUUGCUCUCCGGAUUAGUGGCGAACGGGUGAGUAACACGUGACUAACCUGCCCCUUUCUCUGGGAUAACGCUCCGAAAGGAGUGCUAAUACCGGAUACGAACUCUGAAUACAUGUUCGGAGUUGGAAAGUUUUUCGGAAAGGGAUGGAGUCGCGGCCUAUCAGCUUGUUGGUGAGGUAACGGCUCACCAAGGCGACGACGGGUAGCCGGCCUGAGAGGGCGACCGGCCAAACUGGGACUGAGACACGGCCCAGACUCCUACGGGAGGCAGCAGUGGGGAAUAUUGCACAAUGGGCGAAAGCCUGAUGCAGCGACGCCGCGUGAGGGAUGAAGGUCUUCGGAUUGUAAACCUCUUUCAGUAGGGACGAAGCGAAAGUGACGGUACCUAAAGAAGAAGCACCGGCUAACUACGUGCCAGCAGCCGCCGUAA
rnacentral:rRNA from 1 species